rnacentral:lncRNA from 1 species
AAAGGCAGAGAUUAGGUAGUAUGCAAAUAUUCUUUGAAAUCCUGUUCGGGUUGCUAGAUUGAAGUCACAUUUUCAUAUUAAGGUUACAAAUGGCUGAUUCUAGGUUCUGUUUAUGUCAAGAUCUGAUAAUCCCUCAUGCUGCAAUCAUCUCAUCCCUUGCUUGCAGGAUAUUGCUGUCUUCUGGAGAAACAACAUAUUUCAGCUUGCUGGAGCUACUACCAGGUCAUGCAACACCAGGCAAGUUCAAAUAUGAAAGCAAACUUAAGAAAGCAAAUUGAUUGUAUAGCAACAAAGAAUUAAGCUCUUGAUUACAAGCUUGGAAGCAGUUACACAUGCAGAAAAGAAAACAAGCCCAAAGAUUUAAGAAACCUACAGUGACUCUAACAACAACCUCUUGUUUGAGCUGUCACUUAUGUUUUUUUUCCUCAGCUAUAAAAGUCAAGGGGCCAAUUCAGCAGAAAUCCCCCUCCAUAGGAUGGGCUUUCUGAGUAGACUAUCGUCCUGGGGUUUCCAUUAACCUUCAUACUCAAGGGGUUCCUUGGUUCUAUUGAAUGCAAACAAAGCUUCAAAGCCCUCUCUCAAGUACCCCUCUAUUUCUUUACUUAUUUAGGGUCUCUUUCCCUCCCGCAGUCUUGGCGUAGCUGUUACAUGUUACAUAAGCAAUAAUGAGGUAUCUUUAACACGAAGUAUGACAGCUCUGCUUUGUGGAUAGGUUCACUGGAGUGCUGAGCCUUUCCUGUUCUUGUUAGAAGGUCAGCUGAAUUGCAUUUAGAUUUCUUCAUGUUUGUUUUUCUAAUCCCACGGGUCUACUUGUGCAACACUUAUGUCUUUUGUCCUCAUGACACUUUUACAGUGACCAUGGAAGGCAUUUUGCAACAUGUUAGUCAUUUUAGGGUUUGUUCUGCCAAACAGAGAUAUCCCAGGGUUUUUAUUACAACACUUUAAGAAUGGCUUUUAGGAUACAUGAAACUGUUUUUUCCAAUCAGCUAAAGCUGUGACAGUUUUCAUGCAUGCCUUUACAAAGCUAAUCAGCAGCUGCAUUUGUUUCUUCUCUCCAAAAUACUGCUCUCCUUCUUUGCUGUGUUCCUCUUAUGAAUAUUCAUAAAUGUGAUAUAAAUUAAGUGUGAGAGAUGUGCUCUCUACUCUUAUUUGAGGUGCUUCCUUCUGUUCAUGUCUGUAGCAUACAGACUUUCUGAUCUUCCUAAAGAAAAAGGAAAGGGAUAAAUGAGUAAAUAGAGAGACGUGUAAGAGCUAGUGCUGGGUGUUGCCUGGCGACUA